GAUGAACGCUGGCGGCGUGCUUAACACAUGCAAGUCGAACGGGAAUUAUUUUAUUGACACUUCGGUCGAUUUAAUUUAAUUCUAGUGGCGGACGGGUGAGUAACGCGUGGGUAACCUGCCUUAUACAGGGGGAUAACAGUCAGAAAUGGCUGCUAAUACCGCAUAAGCGCACAGAGCUGCAUGGCUCAGUGUGAAAAACUCCGGUGGUAUAAGAUGGACCCGCGUUGGAUUAGCUGGUUGGUGGGGUAACGGCCCACCAAGGCGACGAUCCAUAGCCGGCCUGGGAGGGGGAACCGCCAGAAUGGGACUGAGGCCCGGCCCCGGAUCCUACGGGGGGGAGGAGUAGGGAAUAUUGCACGAGGGGGGAAACCCUGAUGCCGCGGCGCCGCGUGAAAGAAGAAGUAUCUCGGUAAGUAAACUUCUAUCAGCCGGGGAGAUAGUGACGGUACCUGGCUAAGAAGCCCCGGCUAACUACGUG
rnacentral:rRNA from 1 species